CUUCGAAAUGAGCGAGCCAGGUGACGUGAUAGUGGAGUGGCCUGAACCAGAACCUCAAGGCAUAAACGUGGAACCUCAAGAAAUGGAUCCUGAAAUAGAGACAAUGUAUGACGUCAGUAUGAAGGCCGGAGAGCAACGCACAUUUAAGGUGGAAUAUAAGACCUUUAAUGGUCCAGCUACCAUCAGUCUGUAUAACGCCGUUAAUAAACCCCACACAGAAUCCCGUCGUACCAGGAAUGGGUUUCUCGAGUUACACCAUACCAAAAGCCACCACAGCACACAGUGGAGCGUACACAGUGGAGAUACUGGAUGAACGCCGUAGAAAGGCAGAAUCACAGAACCCGGUGCGCACUUCAUUCACAGUGAAUGUGAAGAAACCGAAGUACAACUGCAGCAUAGUAUAACGGUUGAAGCUUAACAGUCUCUCAAAAGGUACUUCAACUGAUGAGUAUUCAGCAGAUGCUGCAAGGAGUCGAGACACAAACAACUGACGAUCAACCAGAUCCGCGUAGCACUUCUUAAAUGAACAUUACAGAAUUGGGUUUUGCUAUCAAAACAAUUGCUGGCAGUAAGCACUUUAUGUAAUCCACUAUAUACAUAAACUGACAAACCUGUAGAAGUUAGAUUUCGAUCGGCCAUCUAGUCUAGAUCACGAUAAACUAGUGACAAACCGAUUACACGUUUCACAUGACAUCGAUUAAAAAAAAAAAUAAUAAUAAAACGCUCACUGUGCGGUAAACCCCAAACGGGAAAUAAGUUUUAUUUACUUCUCAUCAAAUAUGAAAUUUUAGGCAGAAAUAUAUUAAAGGAUUUGGGUACCUUUUCAAAAUGUC